GACGAACGCUGGCGGCGUGCUUAACACAUGCAAGUCGAACGGAAAGGCCCUGCUUGCAGGGUACUCGAGUGGCGAACGGGUGAGUAACACGUGGGUGAUCUGCCCUGCACUUCGGGAUAAGCCUGGGAAACUGGGUCUAGUACCGGAUAGGAGCCAUUUUUAGUGUGAUGGUUGGAAAGUUUUUUCGGUGUAGGAUGAGCUCGCGGCCUAUCAGCUUGUUGGUGGGGUAAUGGCCUACCAAGGCGGCGACGGGUAGCCGGCCUGAGAGGGUGGACGGCCACAUUGGGACUGAGAUACGGCCCAGACUCCUACGGGAGGCAGCAGUGGGGAAUAUUGCACAAGGGGCGCAAGCCUGAUGCAGCGACGCCGCGUGGGGGAUGACGGCCUUCGGGUUGUAAACUCCUUUCGCUAGGGACGAAGCUUUUUGUGACGGUACCUAGAUAAGAAGCACCGGCUAACUACGUG
rnacentral:rRNA from 1 species